rnacentral:tmRNA from 1 species
GGGGAUGAAGGGUUUCGACUUUGACAGUAGAGGUGAGAGAAGCGAGCCGUGGUCUCCGGAUCCACGUUAAAGAGCCGGAACAAACACAACUGCCAACGUGUCUAACGACGACCUGGCGCUCGCUGCGUAAUUAGCUUUGCUAAUUAGGUAGUGAGUUGGCCGCGAGAUCCAUGCCCUACGGAGCUUGCGUGCCCUCAUGAAGUGGGGCUAACCCGCCGUCAGAGCUGACGGGUCGGUGGGGACACCUAAGUCAGAUACGGAUUGUGUUGGUUGUCGAUUACCAACACGAUCCCGACAACUUGAAAUCGACUGCGCUCGGAGAAGUCUCACCAAAACGUCGAAGGACGCGGGUUCGAUUCCCGCCAUCUCCACAG